rnacentral:tRNA from 1 species
GACUUUGUGGUGUAGUGGUCAUCUCGCUCGACGCGUAUUCGAGAGGUCCGUGGUUUGAAUCCCGGCGAGGGCA